CGGAAGUGCGGACUGAGGGGGCAAGGAGACUCUCGAGCGCGGUUUCCAGUGAGGCCCUCCCUUCCUGACUCAAGGGAAUCAGAUGGGAACUCUGCUGUAAAGAGCUCACAGUACAGCAUGGCUAUCAACAGUGAUGGCUUCUGUGUCUUGAAACAGACAUUGGAUGGCUGUGGCAGUCGUGAUGGUUCUGCUGUCACUGAACGGGGGUCCAGGACAGCCAAGAGGCCAUGCGCUGGAUCUACAUCCAAAACGGUUGAUUUUCCGGAGCGGAGGCCUGUCUGUGCUGCCACUUCGUGGCCACAUUGGGAACUGCAUCCUUGACAGCCUGCUGAGGUCUGCAGGUUCACCCCAGUGGAAGUCAUCAGCCCUUGGACGUGAAGCUGCCCUCAUGGGGAGACUCCUGCGUCAGUCCUUGGAACGCAUUUCCAGCAAAGGGAGUGGGUGGCCCGGGCAGGGGGUGCAGGAAGAGCAAGCUGAACAGCCCACGGUGCCCCCGACAAGGAUGGAAAGAAGUGAAAGUCGCUCAGUCGUGUCCGACUCUUAGUGACCCCAUGGACUAUACAGUCCUUGGAAUUCUAAAGGCCAGAAUAGUGGAGUGGGUAGCCUUUCCCUUCACCAGGGGAUCUUCCUAACCCAGGGAUCAAACCGGGGUCUCCUGCCUUGUAGGCGGAUUCUUUGCCAGCCGAGCUACAAGGGAAGCCCAAGAAUACUGGAGUGGUUAGCAUAGCCCUUCUCUUGUGGAUCUUCCCGACCCAGGAAUCGAACCGGGGUCUCCUGCACUGCGGGCAGGUUCUUUACCAACUGAGCCAUCAGGGAAGCCCAACAAGGAUGGGGUCACAUGUAAAAGAAAAUGUCCUCAGGAGAAGGUCGUGCAGAAGACACGACAGCACGUGGGUCGUGGGUGUGAUGCUUGUGACAGCUGAGGGCCUGCAAGUGCCAGGCUCCGCACAGGUGUCUCCUCUUGGACCAGCCCACCCUGCCACGAAGGGGAUGCAGGAGAUGGGCCAGGUUCAUCACACACUUGGAAAAAGGCAGAGCUUUUGCCUGUUUUUCCCAACCAAUCCCAGCCCACGUAACCAUCACAGCUGAAGCCAGAACCAUCAUCAGCGUGUUGGCUGCUGCCACCAGCUGCAUCACCCUCUUUAUUAUUACUAUCUCUCAGCAGGGGCAUGGAUUUGCAUCUUUUAUCCAACUCUGAAAUACUCAAAUUAAAAAAUAUAUAUAUGGUAUGCUACCCACCCCUUGUUUUUCAGUCAAACACCAAUCUCGGUGCUGCUGUGAAGGGACUUUGCAGAUGUAGUUGGAGUCCUAAGCCAGUGACCUUUUGUAGAGAGUAUCUGGUGGGCUCAAUCUUGGUGAGCCGUUUAAAAGCGG
ensembl:lncRNA